GAGGGGCCUCUCUCUGAAAUUAAAGCUGGGGACCGCAAGGCCUGGCACUUUACGAUGAGCCCGCGGCCUAUCAGCUAGUUGGCGAGGUAACGGCUCACCAAGGCUUAGACGGGUAGCUGGUCUGAGAGGACGACCAGCCACACUGGAACUGAGACACGGUCCAGACACCUACGGGUGGCAGCAGUCGAGAAUUUUUCACAAUGGGGGAAACCCUGAUGGAGCGACGCCGCGUGGGGGAUGAAUGGCUUCUGCCCGUAAACCCCUGUCAUUUGCGACCAAGAUUGUCGGACCAACACUCCGGGU
rnacentral:rRNA from 1 species